UACGUAGGUCCCGAGCGUUGUCCGGAUUUAUUGGGUUUAAAGGGUGCGUAGGCGGGAUGCCAAGUCAGCGGUAAAAAUGCGGUGCUCAACGCCGUCGAGCCGUUGAAACUGGCGUUCUUGAGUGGGCGAGAAGUAUGCGGAAUGCGUGGUGUAGCGGUGAAAUGCAUAGAUAUCACGCAGAACUCCGAUUGCGAAGGCGGCAUACCGGCGCCCUACUGACGCUGAGGCACGAAAGCGUGGGUAUCGAACAGG
rnacentral:rRNA from 1 species